UGGAGGAUGGCUGGUUAGCCAGAGACGGCGGCUGUGCUCCCGCCUGGAGGCUGCGCUGCCCUGGGUGCCCUGAGGCCAAUAAGUAUUCUUUUCCCUUACAGGUUAUUAUAAAAUAUUGAGUGUAGGCCUGUUGCAGAGGCACUGAAAGAGAGGGAGAGGCUACGCGCGCGGUUCCCCC